CAAGUCCAGAGAUUUCCCAGAAGGAAUUUUCUAGGGUUUUGGAAUGAUUUUUUGGUUUUUCUUCCAAAAUAUUGAAUUCGAUUAAUGGGGGCGUAAAAGCUCUGAUUCUGCUAUUGCUUUUGCUGUCGUUUUGGUGUAGUAACAUGGCAGAGAGAAACACAAUACUCACCUCUGAGAAACAUUCCACUCCUUCCUCUCUGAAUCCUCCCUCCCGCAUUAUCUGUCAUGUAUGCCAUAAGCAAU
rnacentral:misc_RNA from 1 species